GAUGAACGCUGACAGAAUGCUUAACACAUGCAAGUCAACUGUGGCGGACGGGUGAGUAACGCGUAAAGAACUUGACUCACGGAUAGGGAAAACAUUGGGAAACGAAUGCUAAUACCUGAUACUGUGAGAGAGCUUUGCGUCCCAUUAGCUAGUUGGAGAGGUAACGGCUCACCAAGGCGAUGAUGGGUAGCCGGCCUGAGAGGGUGAUCGGCCACAAGGGGACUGAGGCGCGGCCCUUACUCCUACGGGAGGCAGCAGUGGGGAAUAUUGGACAAUGGACCAAAGUCUGAUCCAGCAAUUCUGUGUGCACGAUGAAGUUUUCGGAAUGUAAAUUGCUUUCAGUUGGGAAGCGGUACCAACAGAAGAAGUGACGGCUAACUACGUGCCAGCAGCCGCGGUAAUAC
rnacentral:rRNA from 1 species